GGUUAAGCGACUAAGCGUACACGGUGAAUGCCCUGGCAGUCAGAGGCGAUGAAGGACGUGCUAAUCUGCGAUAAGCGUCGGUAAGGUGAUAUGAACCGUUAUAACCGGCGAUUUCCGAAUGGGGAAACCCAGUGUGAUUCGUCACACUAUCAUUAACUGAAUCCAUAGGUUAAUGAGGCGAACCGGGGGAACUGAAACAUCUAAGUACCCCGAGGAAAAGAAAUCAACCGAGAUUCCCCCAGUAGCGGCGAGCGAACGGGGAGCAGCCCAGAGCCUGAAUCAGUGUGUGUGUUAGUGGAAGCGUCUGGAAAGGCGCGCGAUACAGGGUGACAGCCCCGUACACAAAAAUGCACAUACUGUGAGCUCGAUGAGUAGGGCGGGACACGUGGUAUCCUGUCUGAAUAUGGGGGGACCAUCCUCCAAGGCUAAAUAC
rnacentral:rRNA from 1 species